UUACGGGUCAGUCUCCUUUCCUCUGCUAAAAAGAAUAAACUGUUAGCAAAGACCAAAAAUGUUAAUUUUUGUCCAAACUUAAGUCGCACUACCAACAAAGUCUUGUUGCGUUAUUUAUGUACAUAAUUAAUGAGCAUAGUUUGUUAACUGGUGUGUUGUUUUAGCUUUUGGAGCUUAGUGUGUGUUCCUGUAUGUUUGAGCUCGUUCUGUAAUUCAUGGCUCACUCAGAUGUUAUUAUUUGUGCCUUCUUCUCAUAAUCAAUAAUCUCUGUCUUUCUUCUGCAUUUAUGAAUUUAUUAUUUUCUAUGACAGUUGUUCUGCAGGACCAGACUUUGAUGGCUCAGCUCGCUAGAGAUGUAUAAAAGGGAAGUUCUUAGCCUCUCUUUGCCAUGAACCUCGCUGGGUUGUCUUGAGCAGAGUUGGUGGUCAUGAGCUUGAACACAGAGGACGUACGGCGUGGUGGUGGUGGUGUUAGCCGCCUCUGUUUACCGGAGAGUCUCAGAGUGAAGACAAAGCUUCAUGGUGGUGCGGCUGAUGAUGACGAUGUUUGGAUUUAGAUCUAGGGGAUCGAAACGAUAAACUUGAGAUGAUUUUGAUGGACGCUCUUUGCUGUGCAAUUGACAAUCUUGACACGACAAAUUUGAUGGUAAUCAUGGGAGACUUGUUGGGACACGAUGAGUUCGUUGUCGCUGCUUUCGCAUUGAGUUGUAGACGUAGACAAUACAACUUUCUCGUAGCACAGCCUGAUGAGUUUAAAGAACAGCUACGUUCUUCAGCGAAAAAGAAAUGGCUUUGUUCAAGUCUAUUAACUGGAAGAGGCCCUUUGCCCCUAACCUCAAGCAUGCAACACCUCAUGGACAAUAUUGGUACCCUGAAUGCUGACAAACUCACAUGUAACAGCACAAGCCCACAAGAAACUUCACAAAACGGGCCCAACACUGUAUGCAGCAAACUCAGCCUGCAAACACACAGCUCCAACGGUCAUCUUCAACUUUCACUGGCGAGACAAGAAGUACAGAGGAAGUUACAGAGGCAGUUUUCUUAAAAGCAAAAGUCUCAAAAGCAAAAGUUAAGCUGUCAACAUCUGGAACAGCUCCGCAUGUGCUUAGCCAAAACCGUUUUGCUGCGCUUGAUGAUGAUGACAACUAAAGCAAAACCUUAGAAUGUAAUAAGAGGUUAAGAGAGAAAUAUUAUUUUUAAAAUAAAAAAAAAAUACCUUUGUUCACCA